GGGAGUGGAAACGGGGGAAGGAAGGGCCCUCGGGAGUCACGCCCAUGUGCGGCGAGGGGUCCAGGGACGCAUUCAGCCAUAAGCUCCAUGAAGAAGAAUAGAAGAGGAAGAAGACCAUUUAGAGAGAAGAAGAAGAAGGGCUUUACACUUUGCAUGACAGCCGCUCAUUCCACGUCCCGACGCUGCGAUCAAAUGAGCGCGAGGCAAUUCAAACCAAACUGGGCCACGCAGAAAUGGGCCGUGGCCGUGACCCCCUCUGGAACACUUCAAUGCUCCAUCGAUCGAUCAUGUGUCCUAUCCCGGCCUUCUUACGGAAUCCAUCGUGAUUCGAGGACCCCCAAUCGGACUGACUCCAUUUAGUGUAGCUGGAAUUAGUUAUCCGAGAUCCGAUUGAGCCUCAGCAGGACGGGCGCUUACGCAUUGCCAGAGAGAGAGGGAGCCGCCGCAGCAGCGUUGUAGCAGCGGGCAGGGAGGGACUCGGUUGUGGUCGGUAGUUGCUCCACCAACCAGCGCUGUUGCUUUGCUUGAUGAUCUUCUUGUGGUGGUGGCUCUAACUGCUGCUGGCUACCUGAUGUUGUUGCAUCUCUUCAAUACUGGGAGCUUCAGACAUGUUGGAAUUGGGGGAGUUGGGGGCGCGCUGGAGGUUAGGGUUUGGGAGGGCCAUGGUGUGUUUGUGGUAUGCUCGGAAUGUGGUCAUUGAGUAAUCUAGAGUUUAGAGUUUGAGAUGUCAUUGAGGUGGUCGUGAUGAAGGGGGGUAGCAUUACGGGAGUUGGAAAUGGAGCACCGUCUGUGACGCCGUUUAUGUUGCACAAUUUGACGAAGUCGUUGCAUGAGGGCAAGGAGCGGGAGGAGAGCGGGGUUAGUGGGAGUGGGAGGAGGGCGUUGAGUGAGGGAAGGAGGGAGAGGGAGAGGGAGAGACAAGCGGGGGCGGCGGCAGCUGAGAGAGCGUAUGAGUUGAACAGGGAGAAGGAGAGAGAGAGGGUGCGGGAGCAGCAGCUGCGGUUUGAGGCGGAGAGAGAGCGUCGUGAUGGCGUGGUGCUGUGCAAGGAGCGGUCUGAUGGAGUGCAAUGGAAGUAUGUUAGUAAGGAUGGGAGAUCUGGAGAGAAACCGAUGCAGGUCAUGCAUGCUCAACAGCACCGUGACCCUGUGGCUGAAUUAGUUUCAUUUGUGAAAUCAUACAUUGUACCGGAAAAUUAUCCCGACAGUGUCGCGCCUUCCUACACACCGUACAUGCAAUGGCGUGCUGUGCAGUAUCUUUUUGGCGGUGCAAUGAGCGUGUUUACUACGCGGUCGCUGAUGCACGCGUUAGGCGUAUCUAGAGGCGCUUCUGCAUCUUCUGCUGUGGCUGUUAACUGGGUCAUCAAGGACGGAGCAGGACGUAUAGGGAAAAUGAUUUUCGCUCGACAUGGCAAGAAAUUCGAUGUGGACCUGAAGCAGUUGCGAUUCAAAGGAGCAAUGUUGAUGCAAUUAGGCGCAGGCGUUGAGCUUGCUACCAUGGCUGUGCCUCAUCUUUUCUUGCCAUUGGCAUGUGCUGCCAAUGUAGCCAAGAAUGUGGCGGCUGUGACUUCGUCGUCAACCAGGGCUCCCAUAUACAAAGCCUUUGCUCGGCGGGAAAAUAUCGGAGAUGUAACAGCUAAAGGAGAAUGUAUCAGUAAUAUUGCUGAUCUGAUGGGGACUGGACUAGGAAUUUUCAUUUCAAAGAAAAGUCCUUCUUUAGUCGCCACUUUCUGUGUGUUGUCGUGCGGAUAUAUGAUCUCAUCUUUCAACGAGAUCAAGUCGGUUCGUCUGGCCACUCUGAAUCGGGCUAGAUUUGGAGUAGUAGUACAAUCAUUCCUCGAAACUGGGAAAGUACCCUCGGUUGAGGAUGCGAACAGAAGGGAGAGUGUUAUAACACUUCCUUGGCAAGAAAAGCCACUGGAGCUUGGUAUAGUGCAUGCUCCCGAGUUGCACAGGCGUACUCUAACCCAAAGGAAUUUCUAAGAGCACGAGAACAAUUUCAGAAAGAGAAGUAUCUCGUCACAUACAGUCUAAAGAAAAAGCGUGCAUAUGUUGUGAUUAAGGAAUCUGCUUCCUCUGAUGAUGUCGUUCGGGCUACCUUCCAGGCACAUGUAAUGCUGCAUAUUUUACGAGGAUUAAGAAGCACACUUAUUACCAGCAACGUUGGGGCUAUCGUGGAAGAGAGCACUAAGCUCACUCAUGAUUUGUACGACUCCUUCAAAGAAGAGGCGAAGUCCCAGGGUUGGAUGAUGGGAGAAACUCUGCUUAGUCCCGGAGAUUCAAGACUUUGUGAUUGACAAUUUUGUAGAACAGUACUUUUUACCUCAUUGAUUCACAGCUUUCCUCAUAAAUUUAGAUAUAUCAACGAGUAACUGCUUCGUCCCUGCUUGUAACAUUAACGGAAAUGCUUCGUCAUUUUGUAGAGUAUUCAUUUGAUGUUUUGGGUGUGCCACUAAGUCGAAGCAUGCAUUUUAGUAAGGAGUUUUUGAGGUGCAAAUAAGGCUUGCAGACGAGAUUGGACAUCCCUCUGCUGGACUUCUGUAACAAGUGUUAACAUGAAAUAUAUAUUUUACCUUGCUAUUGUGUUCAAUAGUUUGUGCA